UAGGGAAUCUUCCACAAUGGACGGCAAAUCUGAUGGAGCAACGCCGCGUGAGUGAAGAAGGUCUUCGGAUCGUAAAACUCUGUUGUUAGAGAAGAACACGAGUGAGAGUAACUGUUCAUUCGAUGACGGUAUCUAACCAGCAAGUCACGGCUAACUACGUGCUAG
rnacentral:rRNA from 1 species